AAAAUUCAUCUUCCAUGCAGUUUCGGUCCCUUCAGCAGUUAAGGUGCUCUGCCUGUGCUUCAGCUCCCAGAUCCCCACAGCUGUAGCUGGCUGGCUAAGAUUGCGCAUGUGCAGUCCACUAAACCAGGCGUGCACAAGCCGGGUCAGCCUGUGAGCUGGUUUUUGUUCCAGCCAUUUGCCUUAAUUUUAGUUUUUUUUUUCUGACAGCUCAAUGAACUACGCCGGUUCACUCCUGUACAUUAAGCCCAGUGACAUCUUCAAUACGCACUCUCAGUCUUUGUCUGUAGUCGGUGCUCAUUAAAUCAGAUCACAAAACACAAUUUGUUUAUAUAGCGCCUUUCAUGCAAGACUGCAAUACAAAUUCGUUCACAUAGUAAAGAUAAAAAGAUCCAUAAAAAGCUGCAGCAACACUGAAAACAUAAAAACGAUAAAACAACAUAGAUUAAAAAAAAAAAAAAACAGAUCGGCCCCUUUUGUGCACCCCUGCACUAGAGUAACGCCACCUCAGUCAUUUUUACCUCUGCUGGAGGACUUUCCCCGGAAAGAAACGCCUGCCCCCACGUCAGCCUGUGUGAGCGAGGGUACCAUCAGCCAGGCCAGGAGCGACGGGAUCCGUUUCCGUGGAGACCAUUUUCGCCAUUCCAGAGUGAUCAGAUCCACUUCCAUGGAGACCAUUUUCACCAUUCCAGAGUGAUGGGAUCCAUUUCCACGGAGACCAUUUCCGCCAUUCCAAAGUGAUGAGAUCCAUUUCCAAGGAGACCAUUUCCGCCAUUCCAGAGUGACGGGAUCCAUUUCCGUGGAGACCAUUUUCACCAUUCCAGAGCGACGGGAUCCGUUUCCAUGGAGACCAUUUUCACCAUUCCAGAGUGACGGGAUCCGUUUCCGUGGAGACCAUUUCCACCCUCCCCUGAGUGAGGAGAUCCGUUUCUGUGGAGCCAUGUGUUCGCCUGUGAGGACUGAACAUGUGGCUGUGACAUCACUUCUCUGAGAUACAACAAGGAGGAAGUGGAUAACUUACCAAAGAAUCCCAAAACACAGGAACUCCACACGGAACAAGCACAUGACAUCACAGACCCAACGCAUGACAUCACAACCAGGAUGGCAACAUCUGGACGACCAGGCUGAGACUACAGGAACCAAGCUGAGAACAUCAUAGCAGGCUCACAUGGGGACACGCUUUCUUUCCGCCCUUUUCUCUUCCUUUCUUUUUCCUGUCCUUUAAUAAAAGGACUGGAAAUGUAAUAAAA